rnacentral:lncRNA from 1 species
CCAUUCGACGGCUCUGGUCGAUGCAUAUCUGGGCCAUACGAGGCAUUUAUAAAUAAGGACCGAUCUCUCUCACUUUUACCUUUCACUUUCUUCCUCCUUCGAGCUUUAUGAUGGUGGCAUUCUUCUAUUAAUGUCUAGGGUUUCUCUGGUGAUUCUCAGCUAUUUCUCUGAUAGCUUCCAUCGAGCAAUCAGUUGCUGGGUGGUUCUUCAAGCAUUCCCUAUUUUCUAGUCCUCCCUUUUGGCCUUAAGCUUUUUUUCCCAUAUCCUUGCAUUUGUUUGUCCUCUCUUCUCCUUUUUGUUUGCUUUCUCAUUCCCCAUUGCUUUAGUUCUUUUUUCCUUAGCCUCAUAAUAGGUGAACCAAAGAGAACUUGAUAGGGAGCUAGUCCUUGGGUGCUUCCUCAAGGUACAAUCCUGAUUGGCCGAACAUCAUGCAUGAGGCCGAAGAAGCCUUCAUGCCCAAACACUUUUUAGUCAAUAUUGAGUUUGGAAGACUUGAGUCUGAUCUGAGCUCAAUUUGAGAUUCCAUCUGAAUAUUAGUUGGAACUUCCAAGGCUGAAC